rnacentral:ncRNA from 1 species
GGAAUGCCGGUGCGAAUCCGGCAGCGGUCCCGCCACUGUGAUCCCCGACGGGGUAAGCCAGGAC